AUUUCUAUAGUAUAAAAGUAUACAUAACUUCCAAUUAUGUGGUCUAUUAAAUUAAUAGUAGAAAUA
rnacentral:tRNA from 1 species